UGAUUCAACUCAGAUUUUGCUUUAUUUCUAUUCUCUUCUGAAACGUAGUGAAUGAAUAUUUUUUUCAAGUUGAGCACUCUACAUUAUAAUAAAUUUCAAGAUGAUGUUGAACUGUUGAUGAGGUUAGGUUUAGUCAAUGUUGAAUUAAAUUAAUGGACAUAUUGCUUCCAGGACUACGUUCACCAAAUCUUUGGCAACUUUUUUAUGUUUGUCAUUACUUCUUUGAUCAUUAAAAAACUUUGAUUUCUUUCAAAAGCAAAUCAUUGCCUUUGAAAGAGCAUGUUUAUAGUGAUCGAUUGGAAUAUUCAAAUCAUGUACUGAUAAAAAAAUCAGCACUGGCGAAAUUGGUGAAGUAUUUUCAAAACUAAUCAGCUAUUGCAGAGUAAAGAAACAGCUGAAAAAAUAAAAGAUGGAAUGAUAUUUCAAGAAAUCAUUGAUGCUGGUUUGGAGUUUUUGAACUCUUUGGAAAUUGAAACACAACAAAAAUCAAGUUGGAAUUGUCUCCUACUGGAUAUCCAUUUCUCAGCGUAUUCUUGACGAUAAAAUGCUUGUUGAAUUGAUAAUUUCAGAAUUUCCUUAUUUUUUUCAUGUUAACAAUUUCAACAUUCGGGAUAACUUUCAAACUGAUAUUUUUUUACCCACUGAAUUUUUUUCUUUAAUUAGUCAAUACGCAGAUUGAAUUGUAUAAUAUUGAAUAUAAACAAAUUGUUACUUGAUUAUCAAAUUUAUUUUGCAAUGAUGAUCCGUUAUGAUUUAUACAUACAUAUAUAAUUAUUAUAUACAUAAAUAUCAUAUAUAUUAUGUAUAAGUAAUGGCGAUACUGCAAUUUUUUCAUCGAAUUGAUAUGGUAUCGCUCAGUUCAAUGUCCUUCUUUGCCCUGUAUAAACAAACAUAUUCUCGGGAUAUGUUUUUGAUCAAUGAUAUAACUUUUAUCCAAAAGUUUUUUCAUAUUUCGGCUAAUAACGGUUCUGUUGGACUUCCUGUAUAUUGUAACUGAAGAUCUAGAAAAUAUUUUCUGCAAACUUUAUGUUUUCAAGACCCUCAUCAUCAGUUUAUGUUCUGCUUAAUGUUUUGACAUACCCUUUGUUUUGUUGAAUUUUUGUUUGGAACUUUUACACAGAAUAAAAUACAAAUUUUGUGGUGGAAAUAUGUCGGAUAUCAAAUAUGAAAUAAAGUUAAUGGUAAAUUCCUCAAAUGUAAUUGAGAUGACAAUUAGAAUAAUAUGAAAACAUAUCAAUUUAAUCGAAAGAGUAUGACUAUGUCAAUUUCGUAAUUAUUUUCAAUUAUGUUCCGAUCAAUAUUUUUCUUCUUCACAGGAUGAAGAACCUUUAUGAGAUAAUAUGCGUUAUCUUCUAGUGAAAAGGAAUUGGAAGAAAUUUGCGAGUGAAAUAAAUGUUUGAGCGUA
rnacentral:lncRNA from 1 species